ACGCACCUCUGGAGAGCGCGUAUAAACAUGUACGCCACCAAAGGGGAAAGGUUCUAUUUAAAAUGGAGCUAAACUCUCAGGUAAAAGGACAGAGAAGGG
rnacentral:ncRNA from 1 species